rnacentral:rRNA from 1 species
GAUGAACGCUGGAGGCGUGCUUAACACAUGCAAGUCGAACGGGAUCCAUCAGGCUUUGCUUGGUGGUGAGAGUGGCGAACGGGUGAGUAAUGCGUGACCGACCUGCCCCAUACACCGGAAUAGCUCCUGGAAACGGGUUGUAAUGCCGGAUGCUCCAGUUGAUCGCAUGGGCUUCUGGGAAAGCUUUCGCGGUAUGGGAUGGGGUCGCGUCCUAUCAGCUUGACGCCGGGGUAACGGCCCACCGUGGCUUCGACGGGUAGCCGGCCUGAGAGGGCGACCGGCCACAUUGGGACUGAGAUACGGCCCAGACUCCUACGGGAGGCAGCAGUGGGGAAUAUUGCACAAUGGGCGCAAGCCUGAUGCAGCGACGCCGCGUGAGGGAUGGAGGCCUUCGGGUUGUAAACCUCUUUUAUCGGGGAGCAAGCGAGAGUGAGUUUACCCGUUGAAUAAGCACCGGCUAACUACGUGCCAGCCGCCGCAGUAAUAC